GCCACCAUUAAAACUUUCAUGAUUGUGUGCAUUGCCUCACAGUUGGAUACAACAACGUGCAGAUUUGUUUACCCAAUACAGAUGGCAGAGAAUUUGAUGCUCAGAAACAGCCUUUUUUGCUGAUAACCAGACAGUUGAUAUGGCACCCUUUUGAAACAAGGAGGUUCAAGCAAGAAGGGAGCCAUUAUUGGUGUUGGAGCUUGGAGGAGUAGGUUCUGUUGAUCCUCUUUGCACUAUUUCCCUUGUUUAGACGGUAAGAGAAACCCAAGAAGGUUCCUAGAGGUGAAGUGAGACAAUUUGGAAAGUCUUUGAAUUGAUGAUUUCUUACCAAAGCAAAUGGUGGCACUGGCACAUCUGUUCAUGAUUCAAACUACCAUUUGUGGGAGACUUCUAUCUCAUCUUUAGAAGACCUUUUUAACCCUGAAUUUACAUUUUUAAAUCCCUUUCGGCAUCACAAUAUUAAUAGAGCUUAAAAAUGACUUCUAUACAUUGUUUUACGAUGCCAAUCAAUCAAAAAUCAUGUUAAAAAUGACUUUUAAGAUAAUUUACUACACAUGAUAAUUUGUGAUUACACAACAAUGUAAAAAAGCUUUUGAUGCAUUUAAUUGUGGAAUGCAUAAUUUUUUAUUUUUUAUUUUUGUGGAUACAUGAAUAACUGGAUUCAUUUAUACAUUAAGAUAUUCCAAAUUAUGUUACCUUAUCACUUAUCAGGUGGCAUAUUGGGAGCAACAGAAUUGAAAGGUCCCAGCUACAUACAGGAAUAAGGAUUUUAAGACUGCAAUAAAAAACUUGAGUGAUGAAAAUAAACUAGGAGGUUUUGGAGAUGUAAACAAGGAUGGAAUGCCCCCAAGAUAUUCAUGAACAAAAGAUGCUUUAGAGUAAUUAGAUACAAGAAAACUUUAUCCUUCUUUCAGGCCUGAAGCCAAUAUCACCUCCCUCCUAUCAUGAACUACGUGAAAACUGCUAGAGAUGAAUGGCAAGUAAAAAUUAGCCUUUCACCUGACUUUGGCUAGUGUUUAUAUAUCCUUCAAUCCCAUACUUGUGAUACACUGUGCCUUGAUUCUCUUCCCACCAUUUUUCAGCUUCUUUCUCUGAGAAUCGCUUCCGGCUGCAAACCACACAUGCCAGGGUCAUUCAGACACCACAUUAUGCAGGUGAAUCCUAUAUUGUCAUCGGCUAAGGAAACUACCAUCUCAUUAAUGAAAUAAACUAAAACAACUAAUAUACAUCGCGAUAAAAAGGAGUAGCUAUAACAAAGCACAUGUUUGAACAAACUACAAAGCACUAAAUAAUCUUUGGCCACUCCCUAAAAGUGGAGCCAUAAUGAGAUUUCAUCGAGUGUUCAAAAGAAAGUAUGUGCUUGAUUCACUUUGAAAAGUUUCAAAUUAUGAUUUGGUAAUUUGUCUUAUAGUUUUUUCCCAAAUUUUAAUUUGUUGCACAGACUAUUAGAUAACACUUUGAUCCCACGGUUACUUUUUCACAAUGAUGCAGGUGAGUCCAACUUGGAAUUUGUGAUGAUAGUGUGUGAAAAAAAAUAUCACUACUUAGUUUGUUAUGGCUAAGCACUAGAUCAGAAUAAUAGACAUUACCUAAAUCUCACUCGCUUAAGGCCCUUUUUCCCACAUGGCAAGGUUGUGAAUGUGAUGUAAACACCAGGUUCAUACUGCUCUACCCAUUCAGACUUCAAGCCUUCAGUGGUGUCUUGUUGAGAAUCCGCUCUAUUUAAGUUAGAAUUCUCCAUUAAUUUAUCAUUUUUGGGGAACAAACUUCUCCCAAAUUUUGAUUUUAAUGUGUCAGAAAAUACUAUAGGGGAAUUGGAUAGACUGUCGAUGUUGCCAUCUCUUGGACUCUUCAUAUCUAUAUGUAUGGGUGCCACAUUAGGAACAAAUUCAUGCUGCCCAACUUUUCCUUC